rnacentral:rRNA from 1 species
CUUGAUUGAUCCUACCAGUAGUCAUAUGCUUGUCUCAAUGAUUAAGCCAUGCAUGUGUAAGUAUGAACUAAUUCAAAUUGUGAAACAACAAAUGGCUCAUUAAAUCGAUUAUAGUUUUUUUUAUGGUAUCUACUACUCACAUAAUCAUAGCAAUUCUAAAGCUAAUACAUGCAACAAACCUCAAUUUUUAGAAGGGGAGCAUUUAUUAGAUAAAAGGUCGAUGUGGGUUUUGCUCGUUGCUUUGAUGAUUCAUGAUAACUCAACAGAUCACAUGACCUUUAUACUAGCGACCCAUCAUUCAAAUUUUUGCCCUUUCAACUUUUGAUGGUGGGAUGGUAGCCUACUAUGGUGAUGACAGGUGACAGAGAAUUGCGAUUUAAUUUUGAAGAGGGAGCCUAAGAAAUAGCUACCACAUCUGAGGAAAGUAAUAAGUGCAUAAAUUACCCAAUCCUGAAAUAGGUAGGUAGUGACAAUAAAUAACAAUACUAAGCUCUUUGAGUUUUGUAAUUGGAAUGAGUACAAUCUAAAUCCCUUAAGAAGAUCCAUUGAAGGGCAAGUCUGUUACUAAUAAUUGUAAUAAUUUCAGCUCUAAUAACGUAUAUUUAUGUUGUUGCAGUUAAAAAACUCGUACAUGGAACUAAGGUUGGGCCAUGUGGUUAGCCUCACAAAGAGCACUCGUCUACUCAUCCUUACUACUGACGAUGCACUCCUAGCCUUAAUUGGUUGAGUCAUUCCUCUAACGUUGUUACUUUAAAAAAAUUAGAGUGCUCAAAGUAAGCCUAUGCUUGUAUACAUUAGUAUGGGAUAGCAUUAUAGGAUUUUGGUCCUAUUGUGUUGGCUUUUAGGAUCAAAGUAAUGAUUAACAAAGACAGUUGAGGGCAUUUGCAUUUCAUAAUCAGAGGUAAAAUUCUUGGAUUUAUGAAAGAUGAACAAUUACGAAAGCAUUUGCCAACAAUGUUUUCAAUAAUUAAGAAUAAAAGUUGAGGGCUUAAAGACAAUCAAAUACCAUCCUAGACUUAACCAUAAAUGAUGCCAAUCAGGGAUCGAUGGAUGUUACUUUUUGGACUCUACCGGUACCUUAUGAGAGGUCCUAGGGGGAGUAUGGUGCAAUGCUAAAACUUCAAGGAAUUGAUGAAAAAACACCACCAAGAGUGGAGCCUGUGGCUUAAUUUGACUCAACAUGGGGAAACUUAUCGGGUCCAGACAUGGUAAGGAUUGACAGAUUGAGAUACGGGUGGUGGUGCAUGGCCAUUCUUAGUUGAUGGAAUGAUUUGUCUCAUUAAUUCUAUUAAUGAGCAAGACCUUAGCCUGCUAACUAGCUAUAUGAGGGUGAUACUUCAUGGUUAGCUUUAUAGAGGAAUAAUGGUCACUUAGGCUAAGGAAGUUUGAGGCAAUAACAAGUCUAUGAUGCCUUUAGAUCUUUUGGGCUACACACAUGCUACAUUGAUGUAUUCAACAAGUCUAUAGCCUUGGCCAACAAGCUUAGGUAAUCUUUAAAAUUUCAUCAUAAUGGGGAUAGAUCAUUGUAAUUAUUGGUCUUCAAUGAGGAAUUCCUAGUAAAUACAAGUUAUUAGCUUGCAUUGACUACAUCCUUGCCCUUUGUACACACCACCCUUUGGUUUUAUCGAUUGAACAGUCUGGUGGAGUGUAUAGAUCAUGGCAACGUGAAUGGUUCAUUGCCUGUGAUGUCACAAAAAGUCCACUAAACCUUAUCAUUUAAAUGAGGGAAAAGUCGUAACAAGGUUUUCAUAGGUGAACUUAUGGCAA